rnacentral:rRNA from 1 species
AGUGAACGCUGGCGGUAGGCCUAACACAUGCAAGUCGAACGGCAGCACAGUAAGAGCUUGCUCUUACGGGUGGCGAGUGGCGGACGGGUGAGACAUACAUCGGAAUCUACUUUUUCGUGGGGGAUAACGUAGGGAAACUUACGCUAAUACCGCAUACGACCUACGGGUGAAAGCAGGGGAUCUUCGGACCUUGCGCGAUUGAAUGAGCCGACGUCGGAUUAGCUAGUUGGCGGGGUAAAGGCCCACCAAGGCGACGAUCCGUAGCUGGUCUGAGAGGAUGAUCAGCCACACUGGAACUGAGACACGGUCCAGACUCCUACGGGAGGCAGCAGUGGGGAAUAUUGGACAAUGGGCGCAAGCCUGAUCCAGCCAUACCGCGUGGGUGAAGAAGGCCUUCGGGUUGUAAAGCCCUUUUGUUGGGAAAGAAAAGCAGCAGGUUAAUACCCCGCUGUUCUGACGGUACCCAAAGAAUAAGCACCGGCUAACUUCGUG